rnacentral:tRNA from 1 species
GGGGAUUUAGCUCAGUGGCAUAAGCACUUGCCUUGCAAGCAAGUGGUCCUGAGUUUGAUCCCUA